AGGGAACUGAAGCAUAGACAGCAGGACUGGGGCUGUUGGAAAGGCUAGAAGACCCUGAGGGCAGAGACAGGAGAGGGAAGAGCGACAGGGACAAUAGACACGCUCACCUCACAGCCGAUCUGAGACACGCCGUGAGCCGGUGUCCUCCCCUCCGUCUGUCUGGGCUCCGUGAACGACAGCCAACACCGAGCGCGCAUCUGCUACGGGACGCGUCGCCUGUGCGGGCGGCGCGCACCAGCUCCUCGCGAUCCUGGAGCCCACAACAGCCCCAUGAAACCCGCGCUCCUGGGAUCCCCGCUUUGCAAGUGAGGGAACUGAGGCCCCACGAGCUUGUGGGAUGGGAUCAGGACGCAAAGCCGGCUCUGGGGCUGGCAUCCUUCCUAACCGGCCAUCUCACCCUGCGCUGCCCUCCCAGUGAUAAAUCUUUUUAAAAAAGA